GAGUCCGUCUGAGAAAUCAGACCCAAAACAAGGUGCUGCAUGGCUGUCGUCAGCUCGUGUCGUGAGAUGUUGGGUUAAGUCCCGCAACGAGCGCAACCCUUAUCAACAGUUGCCAUCAUUAAGUUGGGAACUCUGUUGAGACUGCCGUUGAUAAAACGGAGGAAGGUGGGGAUGAUGUCAAGUCAUCAUGGCCUUUAUGUUCAGGGCUACACACGUGCUACAAUGGCCGGUACAAAACGUCGCAAUCCCGCAAGGGGGAGCUAAUCGCAAAAACCGGUCU
rnacentral:rRNA from 1 species